UACGUAGGGUGCGAGCGUUAAUCGGAAUUACUGGGCGUAAAGCGUGCGCAGGCGGCCAUGCAAGACAGAUGUGAAAUCCCCGGGCUCAACCUGGGAACUGCAUUUGUGACUGCAUGGCUGGAGUGCGGCAGAGGGGGAUGGAAUUCCGCGUGUAGCAGUGAAAUGCGUAGAUAUGCGGAGGAACACCAAUGGCGAAGGCAAUCCCCUGGGCCUGCACUGACACUCAUGCACGAAAGCGUGGGGAGCAAACAGG
rnacentral:rRNA from 1 species